rnacentral:ncRNA from 1 species
AACGUGAGCUGGGUUUAGACCGUCGCGAGACAGGUUAGUUUUAUCCUACUGAUGACAGUUUUGCGACAGCAAUCUAGCUUAGUACGAGAGGAACUGCUAGUUCAGGUACUUGGUAAUGCAACUAGUUGAACAACUAGUGUUGCAAAGCUACCACCUGCUCAGGAAAGACUGAACGCCUCUAAGUCCGAACUGAUACUGAAUGCAAAGCUUUUCA